rnacentral:lncRNA from 1 species
AUGGAGAAGGUGUCGCUCCAUGGAGUAAAGAGUAAAAGGAGGCUAAGGAUGGAUUCUGAUCUGGUAGAAAGAGCCCUGCCUGUGCAGGAGGAGAAUUCUGGGACAGUGAUGUCAUUCUUUAUUCCUGUUUUUCAGCUGAAUUCUUUUGUACCAGAUGUUAUUCAAAGAGAGUCAGUGGUGAGGUAUCAGUGGUGGAUUGGAAAUAAUAUGGAAAGAGCAUAAAACUCAGUUCUUUUAUAUUUUGAUGAUUUUUCUUGUGGGAGAGAGAGAGAGAGGGAGAGGGAGAGGGAGAGGGAGAGGGAGAGGGAGAGAGAAGCUCUCUAAAGAUAUCAGGGAACAACCAAGGUAACCAGAACUUGAGAGGCCAAAUCCUGGCAAGAAGAAAGUUUCCCCUCCACAUUUGUCUCUGCUCUUUUCUCUCAAAUACUUGCUGAUUCACAGGAAAAGGGAAUAGAAGUAAGCAGAAGGGAUGAGCUGGAGCUUAUAGCAGUCUUGAUAGCUAGGGGAGGCAGGGGUUAGAAUUUUUUGAUGCCAGUAUAGUUGGGAACUGAAGGGCUCGAUGUCCUAGGUAGGAGAAAAUCACAGAAAAAUGAGGCCCCAAAUCGAUGUGCAAUUUCACAUUGAGGGAAUUGGAAUAUUCUUAAGUUAUAUAAAUGCAGAGGCAAGAAAAAUACACUGAGAGCAGCUGCUAGGAAACUAAAGUGCUAAGCAGAAGUUUCAGCAGUUAAAUAGAGCAUCUAAAAUUUUUAUAUUCUCAAUGUCUGGCAUUUGAAUUAAUUACAACAUAUGAUAGGAAACAGGACCAGAUGACUAGAAGUAACAAGAAAAACAGACCAAUGGGUGAUCCAGAUAUUGGAGUUUUCCGCCACAGACUUCAAAAUGACUGUGGUUCAUUUAUUCAAAAAGUAGAAGGUAAGAUGAAGAAUUACGCCAAAAAAGUAGAAUCUGUUUUUAAAAAGCCACAUGAAAAUAUUGUACUUUAAAAAUAAAAUAAUUGAAGUUAAGAAUUUGAUAGGUUUA